ACUCACAGAGAUCUGCCUGCCUCUGCCUCCCAAAUGCUGAGGAUUAAAGGCAUGCGCCACCACUGCCAGGUUAAAAAGGAUUUCUUUUGGUGCAGGAAAUAGUAGAUAAAGAUGAGGAUGGAAGGUGUAGGGGCCCAGUCUCAAACCACAAGAUGGAACAUGGUGGGAGGUGUCAGGACCUAAAGGCAGAGUCUAAGUCGUUUCCCCUCCUAUUCUGGAAUCACUGGUUUGUCAGGCCUGGGCCGAAGCCAGUGGUGCCUACACCCCAGGAAAGGAUAAGCCAGACCUGUCAACCUGGAAGAGGAACUUCCGGUCAGCCCUGAACCGGAAAGAAGUGUUGCGAUUAGCUGAUGACAAGAGCAAGGACCCUUUUGAUCCUCAUAAAGUGUAUGAGUUUGUGACUCCAGCAGCAAGAGACUUUGUACAUCUGGACACCUCUCCUGAUACCAAUGGCAAAAGCAGUCUGUCUGAUCCCCAGUCUGCUGCCCUCUUGAGCCGGCUGAAGCUG